AAACUCACAUCGGCAGCGCACAUACUAAAAUUGGAACGAUACAGAAAAGAUUAGCAUGGCCCUUGCGCACGAAUGACGUGCAAGCUCGAGAAGCAUUCUGUAUUUUU
ensembl:snRNA U6 U6 spliceosomal RNA